AGGUCUCAAAGCCUGUGCGCCUGUCUUCAUCCACAGCUCCAAAACUGCUGCUCUUCUCUAUCGCUCUUGCUAUUCUAUCGUUUUCUAUCCAUCGCUGUUCUCUAUCGCUCUUGCUCUUCUCUCUGUUUCUAUCCAUCGCUGUUCUCUAUCGCUCUUGCUCUUCUCUCUGUUUCUAUCCAUCGCUGUUCUCUAUCGCUCUUGCUCUUCUCUCUGUUUCUGUCCAUCGCUGUUCUCUAUCUCUCUUGCUAUUCUCUCUGUUUCUAUCCAUCGCUGUUCUCUAUCGCUCUUGCUCUUCUCUCUGUUUCUAGCCAUCGCUGCUGCUGUUCUCUAUCGCUCUUGCUAUUCUCUCUUUCUAUCCAUCGCUGUUCUCUAUCUCUCUAUCUCUCUUGCUCUUCUAUCUGUUUCUAUCCAUCGCUGUUCUCUAUCUCUAUCUCUCUUGCUAUUCUCUCUAUUUCUAUCCAUCGCUGCUCUCUAUCGCUCUUGCUAUUCUCUCUGUUUCUAUCCAUCGCUGCUGCUGUUCUCUAUCGCUCUUGCUAUUCUCUCUGUUUCUAUCCAUCGCUGUUGCUGUUCUCUCUCUGUUUCUAUCCAUCGCUGUUCUCUAUCUCUCUUGCUAUUCUCUCUGUUUCUAUCCAUCGCUGUUCUCUAUCUCUCUUGCUCUUCUAUCUGUUUCUAUCCAUCGCUGUUCUCUAUCUCUCUUGCUAUUCUCUCUGUUUCUAUCCAUCGCUGCUGCUCUUCUCUAUCUCUAGCUCUUGCUAUUCUAUCUGUUUUUAACUGGCACUUCGACUAGUGCGUAACUUGCAAUUACAGCAGUUACAUUUCUGCACUUCUUUUUCUUUUUUUCUUUCAUUUUGUUAUAUUUCUUAUGUAAAGUAGUAUUUAUUGUUACACCAGGUUCUAUUGCUCGUAGCUUGACUGUUCUCUCCCUUGUACGUCGCUUUGGACAAAAGCGUCUGCUAAAUGACUAAAUGUAAAUUCUAUCCAUCGCUGGUAUUACUGCUCUACCUGCUUCAUGUGUCACAGGCGCAGUUAUAU
rnacentral:lncRNA from 1 species